GUGGAUUAGAUACCCUGGUAGUCCUGGCCGUAAACGAUGGGUACUAGGUGUAGGGGGUAUCGACCCCUCCUGUGCCGGAGUUAACGCAAUAAGUACCCCGCCUGGGGAGUACGAUCGCAAGAUUGAAACUCAAAGGAAUUGACGGGGGCCCGCACAAGCGGUGGAGUAUGUGGUUUAAUUCGACGCAACGCGAAGAACCUUACCAAGGCUUGACAUUGAGUGAAAGGCUCAGAGAUGAGUCCCUCCCUUCGGGGACACAAAAACAGGUGGUGCAUGGCUGUCGACAACU
rnacentral:rRNA from 1 species